AACGAACGCUGGCGGCAUGCCUAACACAUGCAAGUCGAACGAGACCUUCGGGUCUAGUGGCGCACGGGUGCGUAACGCGUGGUAACCUGCCCUUAGGUUCGGAAUAACUCCCCGAAAGGGGUGCUAAUACCGGAUAAUGUCUUCGGACCAAAGAUUUAUCGCCUUUGGAUGGGCCCGCGUUGGAUUAGCUAGUUGGUAGGGUAAAAGCCUACCAAGGCGACGAUCCAUAGCUGGUCUGAGAGGAUGAUCAGCCACACUGGGAAUGAGACACGGCCCAGACUCCUACGGGAGGGAGCAGUGGGGAAUAUUGGACAAUGGGCGAAAGCCUGAUCCAGCAAUGCCGCGUGAGUGAUGAAGGCCUUAGGGUUGUAAAGCUCUUUUACCCGGGAUGAUAAUGACAGUACCGGGAGAAUAAGCUCCGGCUAACUCCGUG
rnacentral:rRNA from 1 species